rnacentral:lncRNA from 1 species
CCUGGAGUUAGAGAACCUGUAAUAACCGGGUCCUAAUAAUGAAGAGACAGUAGACAAUCUGUGUGUGACAGCUGAAGCACUGACACAAGCUCACAGCUGACAUAACACUUGUUUUAGCAGCAGAACAGAGAACACAGGAAAUCUGUUAUUUUGUUCUCCAACAUAUCAACCAAAUACAGGAAACAGGAUAUUUCUAUAAUGAGGCCUUGAAGUGACCAUAAAACUAGACUGGAUCAAUAUGAAAACAGUCUAACAUUGUCGUGUUUUAAACCAGAGUUAAAACUAGACUGGAUCAAUAUGAACAACAGUCUAACAUUGUCGUGUUUUAAACCAGAGUUAAAACUAGACUGGAUCAUAUGAACAACAGUCUAACAUUGUUGUGUUUUAACCAGAGUUAAAACUAAACUGGAUCAAUAUGAACAACAGUCAACAUUGCGUGUUUUAAACCAGAGUUCUGGAAAACCUUCACAGAGCAAUUUAGAUCAGUACGACUCCUGAUUAUGUCUAAAUAUGACCAGAAACAGAACUAGUCCUUGCCUCUCACCAGUCCUCCCCACCUUCUCUCCUAUCUAUUAGAUGUAAAUGUUUUGUGGUGGAAUCCAUUGGCUUUAGCCUGGUCUCAGAUCUGUCUGUGCUCCUUGACAACUCCAGCGCGUUGCUGUGACAGAAUGGAGUUGGCAAGACAGCGCAGACAGAUCUGAGACAGGCUAUUGUGCGGUUGGAUCAGGCUGGAUAUUCCCCUCCACUCCGUUAGAUCAGGCGGAUUCCUCCUCCACUCAGUUAGAUCAGGCUGGAUAUUCUCCUCCACUCAGUUAGAUCAGGCUGGAUAUAUUCCCCCCCCACCAGUCAAUCAGCAGCUGGAUAUCCUCCUCCUCCCCUCAGAUCAGGCUGGAUAUUCCUCCUCCACUCAGUUAGAACAGGCUGGAUAUUCCCCCUCCACCAGUUAGAUCAGCAGGAUAUUCCUCCUCCACUCAGUUA